AUGUUAGCGGCGGACGGGUGAGUAACACGUGGGUAACCUACCUAUAAGACUGGGAUAACUCCGGGAAACCGGGGCUAAUACCGGAUAANAUUUUGAACCGCAUGGUUCAAUAGUGAAAGACGGUUUCGGCUGUCACUUAUAGAUGGACCCGCGCCGUAUUAGCUAGUUGGUAAGGUAACGGCUUACCAAGUCGACGAUACGUAGCCGACCUGAGAGGGUGAUCGGCCACACUGGAACUGAGACACGGUCCAGACUCCUACGGGAGGCAGCAGCU
rnacentral:rRNA from 1 species